GAUGAACGCUGGCGGCGUGCCUAACACAUGCAAGUCGAGCGAUUUACUUCGGUAAAGAGCGGCGGACGGGUGAGUAACGCGUGGGUAACCUGCCCUGUACACACGGAUAACAUACCGAAAGGUAUGCUAAUACGAGAUAAUAUGCUUUUAUCGCAUGGUAGAAGUAUCAAAGCUCCGGCGGUACAGGAUGGACCCGCGUCUGAUUAGCUAGUUGGUAAGGUAACGGCUUACCAAGGCGACGAUCAGUAGCCGACCUGAGAGGGUGAUCGGCCACAUUGGAACUGAGACACGGUCCAAACUCCUACGGGAGGCAGCAGUGGGGAAUAUUGCACAAUGGGCGAAAGCCUGAUGCAGCAACGCCGCGUGAGCGAUGAAGGCCUUCGGGUCGUAAAGCUCUGUCCUCAAGGAAGAUAAUGACGGUACUUGA
rnacentral:rRNA from 1 species